ensembl:lncRNA
UCUUCUCACUCACAUGCAGGAACAUCAGAGACAUCUGUGCUUUUAACUGCUUUACUUCAGUGUGACACCAUUUUGAAUGUAUUCUUUGCAACUUUCAGUCUCAUCUGAAUAAUCCUUUAACACACUUCAGGUUGAUCUUGCUCAUCUGCAGUCAUGAAAUUCUCACUUGUUGCUGCUCUUGUCGUUGUGCUGGCUGUUGCUCAUGGCACUGAGGCCGGGUCACUGGUGAAGCGUGACACCGGGGCUAAUUUCGACCAGCUCACCAAGAUCCUCAGUGACAUGUCCGCCAAAAUCAACUCCGCAUCCCAGGACAUGGCGGAGAAGAUGAAGGCUGUCGAGGUGACCAACAUUGACCAAGAACAGAUCAAGCAUCUGGUUGACAAGGCCCAGGCCGAGGCCACCAACCUGCAGGAGCAGGUGAAGCCCGCCAUCGCCACAAUCAUGGAGAACUUCCAGACUGAGGUCAAGUCUCUGUCCGACAUGUUGGACAAACUCUUCAAGCAGGUGAUAGUCCAGACCAAGGCUCUUUCCACCGCUAAUUAAAGCUCGAUGCUGAUCCGAUCCAUCAGUGAUAACGCUCACUUUUUCAUUCUGCCCCAAACACUUCACUGGUGUUUGUCUAUCAUACUCCUCUGUCUUUAAGUCAUCUGAAAUGUAAUGUUUGAAUGUCAUCAUUAAAGUUGUUUGAAAGUCAUCAUGACGUAUUUUUUUAUUUAUUUUGGCUUAUAUGAGUAAAUAUUGUAUUUGCAUUCUGAGCACAGAGAUUAAUUUAUGAAAAGCCAAAGAGCAAGUAAUCAAGUUGAAAUGAAAUAUAUUGUAGCCGAAUCUGAUGAGAGUCACCCGAUGAAGUGGAAGUCGAUAUCAACAUUUCCUCUAACCUUUGGGUCAUUGAUGUUUUCCAUCAUCCAUGGUUCAAUAUUCUGAAGUAGGCCGUUAAAUAGGUUGGAGGCCAGUUUACAGCGUGGAUAACAUCAGGUUGAUGAGAUCAACCCAAAUGAUGGAUGUAUUGACUUUAUGCAAGUAAUUAACUUGCUACACAAUCAGAACGAUAACCAGAACAAAUAUGUACAAGUCUAUUUUUAUCUCAACGACUUUAGCAUGGGGAGAAAGAAAAGAAAAUCAACACGUAAAAAAAGAAGCAGAUUAACAACAGAUGCAUUUAUAUGUUUAAUUUACAAUUUGGACACAGUGGACACAUCAAUAUCACGGAAAUACCUCAAAUACAGUUUUAAUGUUCUGUUAACAAAAGCGUUCCUAACAAACUGCAGCACGAGCCAUUUUACUUUAGGAAGAAUAAAAAGAAAGUCAUUAUUAUUUGAAGCACAGUUUAAAUCAUGUGUUUAAGGUAAUUGAGAGGUAAUUUGUCUUGAAAAAUAACAAAUAUGUGUUUCUUACCAGUCAAAUUCCACUUCUUUCUGCAUGCUGCCAUCUCAUCCACACAGAAGGGACAGAAAAGAAAUGACCACCAACCCUGCAGACGUGAGCCAACGUAAUUGAAAUUGAAAAGAUUAAUUGGAAAUACGUAAAUCACUCUAAAAGCAAAACAAAAUGAUCCGUUAAAGAUCGGCAACGAUUUUUAAACACGUAGCCAAUUUCUUAUCUGUCGAUAACUCAAAAGUAUUUGCAUGCUAUAAAUAAAUUAGAUUUAUCUCAGUCAUAUCUGGGGCAUUUCUUUUCACGCUGAAGUUCAGUUGAAAAUACUUCUCAAAGACUGAUAUUUAAAGAAAUGUGCCUUUAAACAUUUGAUGCAGGAUUUUCAAAAUUGUGCGACUUCUCCACGGAGAGAACUUGCGAUUUGACUGAGUUUAGUGUGUUCUGCACAAUAACACGGCGGGGUGUAAUUGCUCCUCGUCUUUUUCUGGAAGGCAAGUGGAGCACUUGAUGUUUUAUCAUGCACCGAGGGAAACUAGAGCUCAGUGAGAAAUAUCCCAGACUUGGCUUGAGUUCAAGCUUGUGUCUCAAAGCAGUGAGGAAGACAAUGACUUGUUGUCAGUUUAACCCCAAAACAACAA